rnacentral:ncRNA from 1 species
GAAGAUGGCCUUCCGUAUUCGCCUUACAGGAGGAGGAUACAAACCACCUCAGACUGUUGUGGUAAAGAGCCACAGCAGGAAGCGCUGAGGAAAAGGCGGCGAAAAGCCAUCAGG